UCGUGGCUAUUUGCAAAUACC
rnacentral:piRNA from 1 species